AGGCCUCUUGCUGGUCAUCGAGCCUCCGUAACACCUUAACCAGAAACUUCCAGGAGGCACACAUGGUUCCAGCUUUGCCCGGAGAGUUUGUCCCUUGGCUCAAAGAAAACGUGACGAGAAGCCUGUGCACAGCCCGAGGAGAGCUGGGGGCUUCCACAAGGACAUACUGGGUUGGCCGAAAGGUCAGUUUCCCCCUUCAAGUCAUGAAAGCCUACCCCAGCAUCUUCCCUUGUCUUUAGUUGAAGAUGGUGUUUAAGACCAGCCAAGAGAACCCAGAGGAGAAGGGGGUGCUUCCGCACGCCAACAACAACGGCCGACGAGAGUCCUUGCAGCUCAGCCACAGGAACCGCCAGCACCCUGCUCGCCGCGUCUCUCUGAUGGACUUUGCUCAUAGCGGCCCCUUCAACCGCUUCCUUUUUCUCUACAGAGUAACAUCUUCCCCUUUGUUUCCCGAAUGUGUUUACAGUUUUUGCUAUGACUUUCUUGUCCUGAAUUGCAGUUAUCUGUUAUUCCUGUGUGUAAACGUUUUUGCUGGUAAAAUGACUGGCUCUUUUCAAGAAGUCUGAAGAGAGCGGAGGCCUGGCCACAGAGCCAACCCACCCUGUCCCUAAGGAGGGGGCACAGCCCCAAGCCCAGGAACUGUCCUGCCAGCACGCCGGCUCCCUCUGGAGCCACCCCAGGUCCCAUGAGAAAUGAGGGGGGGCAGGCCACACGGGCUGCUGGGUGCUGACCUGCAACCAGGAAGGACCCAAACCCCGCCUGGAGCGGGGACUCAGGACUGGGGGGCCAGUGCCCCUCAGAGGGGAGACCUGUGCGGCUGGGGGGCUGGUGGUGGGGGUGGGGCUCCUCUGGGCCUCGGGGUGAGGCUGAGUGGGGCCUGGCAGGGGCCCGAGUGGGGACAGUGGGCGCUGCAGCAGGCUUGGGCCUGAGACCCCCAGGCUGGGGAAGGGUCCCCAGACCACAUCCCUAAAUAGGGAAGGGGGUGUGGCUAACACAGGGCCUGACUCGGGUGUUAAGGGAAGUAGAACUCAUAACCCCAAACAAGCCUCUUUGGUACAUUGAUUAUUUUAACUGGUUAUUUUUAAUUCUGAGGCUGAGUAGAAGUCAGCCUACGAGAGACAUUUAAUGAACAAGGCAAACCUCCCUGUAAGGGCGACCCUAUUGUACCAGGGGGCUUCCAUUGUAGCUCAGUUGGUAAAGAGUCUGCCUGCAGUGGAGGAGACCCAGGUUCGAUCCCUGGGUUGGGAAGAUCCCCUGGAGAAGGAAAUGGCAACCCACUCCAGUAUCCUUGCCUGGAAAAUCUCAUGGACAGAGGAGCCUCGUGGGCUGCAGUCCGUGGGGUCACAAAGAGUCGGGCACGACUGAGCGACCAGGGGGCGACCGCAUUUCCUGGAAACUUUCAUGGGUGGAGGCGGCAAGGAUGACCUCUGCAGGAAACCACCCUGUUUCUGUGCUUUUCGGGGUAACUUCCCCAAGGAGGCCUCUCCUGCCCACCGCAGCCUCUCAUCUUGAGCUCAGAUGGCAUUUAGGUGCUGACUUCAGCAUUUGGGGAAGUUGCUGAGCUUU
ensembl:lncRNA